rnacentral:rRNA from 1 species
UACGCAGGGGGCUAGCGUUGUUCGGAAUCACUGGGCGUAAAGGGCGCGUAGGCGGCUUGAUAAGUCGGGGGUGAAAGCCUGUGGCUCAACCACAGAAUUGCCUUCGAUACUGUCGAGCUUGAGACCGGAAGAGGUAAGUGGAACUGCGAGUGUAGAGGUGAAAUUCGUAGAUAUUCGCAAGAACACCAGUGGCGAAGGCGGCUUACUGGUCCGGUUCUGACGCUGAGGCGCGAAAGCGUGGGGAGCAAACAGG